ensembl:lncRNA
AUGUUAAUGGCUUAAGGAGUGUUUGUCUAAAAACUGGUAAUACAAGACUUACUAGCCCUAAAUUUGCCUAACCUAUCUCAUCCUCCUUCACUUUAAGCUAUAUUGUUACUCUGAGAAAGAAGACAGAGCCAUUUCACACAAUAGUCUGAGGGAUCUGCCCUGCCCUUGCCUUACCCAGGGAAGCUGCCUCUCAGAACACAGCAGAUAAUCUGGUCAGAUGUAUCAAGGUGACAGCAGGUGACAUUUGACGAAAUGAGGGGAAAGAAGACAAUUGAAGGCAUUAUUUCAAAGAGAGGUUAACUAGAAGUCAAUAGAUGCAGGAUGGACUCAGCAAACAGCUCUAGUCAAGCUAUGGAUCUGGUCAUCUCAGAUCUCUGUUCACAGUCUUUUCAUUCUGGAAACUAGAGUGGAGGAAGCAGAUACCCAUAUUGGAAGAUUCUUAUGUCAAUGACAGAAUGCAAAAGCACAAACCCCUCUGCACAAACACUCUUUAAGCCUCUGUGUGUAUCACAUCUGUUGACAUGCCAAAGUAAACAAACCAAGGGUCAAUACCAGGAUUCCAAUCAAGGUCAACCUGACCAAAGCAAUCCAGAACGUUUUCUACCUUGGAAUGCAACACAAAUGAAAAAUCAAAUGUUAACAUCAGAUUGUAAAAACUCAUUACACCACGAAUUUUUUUGAAAAUUUUCUUUAAAUAAGAAACAUUCCUACUUCAUUUCUAAUUUAAUUUGUGAAAAUAUUAUUUACCCCAUAGUUGUUAAUUUAUAAAAAAUACAUUCACAUAUAGCACCUAAGUUGUUUGUAUGAGUGGUUUAAAUAGUAAUGAUAAUGCCACAAAAACUCACGCAACACUAUUAAAAUUAAUAUUUUAUUUGAAUUAUUUACACAAAAGUCAUUGUUAGUAUAUUGGCUCCAGGUAAUAUAUACUGUCUUCUGUAUCUUUGCUACCUCUGAUUUUCAGCCAGAAAUAUGAGAUAUGAUUUGGGAAAAUGCUGAGUUUCUCAUUAUACCUGGAAAGUAUAAAAUUUGAACCCAUUUUGGAGUGAGAAGC